UCGGCUGUGGUGUAAUUGGUAACACAUCGACCUUUGGAGUCGUAUAUUCCAGGUUCGAGUCCUGGCAGCCGAGC
rnacentral:tRNA from 1 species